GGAAGGGUGGCAGAGCGGUCGAAUGCACCGGUCUUGAAAACCGGCAGGGCCUAACGGUCUUCGUGGGUUCGAAUCCCACCCCUUCCGCCA
rnacentral:tRNA from 1 species